rnacentral:antisense_RNA from 1 species
AGUCGCCGCAGCCGCGGAGUGAGGGAGCGAGAGUCUUCCUUAGCUUCCCCGCCAUGGGCGUCGCUUCGUAGCCGGGCUGCUCCGGGAAAGGCCUCGUACAGCACGCAUUCACCAGAAUCCUGUCAGCUUUCCUCUUCUCAUCCAGACGCCUGGCCAGGAUCCUUGAUAAGACCGUGACCCCCAACUUAGACACCCCAUAAGGUUCCCAGAUGAUGUGACAGCUACUGGUUUCCAGCCACACCUUGAGAACACUUGGCUUUCACUAUCACUUCUUAAACUUAAAGGAAAACUAGACAAUCCACCAGCCCAGGAGGGGACAAGCAGGCUUAAUCCCCCUCCUCGUCAUCUCUGGCUCCAGCCCCACCCUGGCCCUUCCUGGCAUUCUUCCUCUUCACGUGGCUGGGGUGGCCACCCCAAUAGGGAGGCAGAGGGAGAAGUCCAUGUGCUUCUGGGAAUCCAGGCGGACAGUGAAGAACAGGAUAUUUACCACCUGCUCACGGAUAUGAUACUGUUGGAUCAGCACACGAGCGUGGCGGAUGGACUUAAGCCAAGCCCAGCUUGAAGACCUGGGUCUGUAGGC